AAGGGCCCUUUAUAAAGCAUCUCAGAUAAGAAGCUGUGCUGAGCUGCAGGCCUCAGAGACCUGAGCUGCAGUCGAGGUAGCUGAGCUCCAGGGUUGCUCCCCAGAGAGGCUUGUGGAGGCUCUGUCCUGCUCUUCCUCCCUCCUGCUCCUGGGGCAGCCACAGUGCUGCUCCCUGGAAUGGAAGUUGCCUGGCUCCUGCUCUCCCUAUCUGGCCUUCUGUUAGCCCUGCCUGGCCCUGAGUCCACAGCGAUGGAGCCUGGCCCAGCCUUGGGGCUGAUGGGUGGGCCUGGAAGCUUAGUGCCUGGCUGAGGCCCUGUUGCCAGGCCCUGCCUUGGUUCUGCUUGUUGCUUUAUUGCUCUUACCUGCCCACUCCUGCGUGUGCUCUUUCUGGCCCUGCCCACACUUGCAGCUCACACGAAGGGCCUCAGGGGCCUGCUAUCCCUGUCCUAUCCCGCAAUUUGCUUCCCUGCGUCCCCAGGCCCAGCCCUUCUGCCUUGUCCCCAGCAACUCCUCAGGCUUCUACCUGGCCUUGAUCUCGGGAUUCAAGGUGACCAGCUUGCUACUUGAGACCACCUACGGUAAGACCCCUUCAGCACCCUCUGGCUCAAGGCUGUCCCUGGAGGGGCUCACACCUGCCUCACCCCAGCCACAAGGGCCAUGACGUGCUACAAUCUCCAAGCCCACUCUGUGCCCAGGUCACUUCCUCUAUCUCACCUGUGGGGAGGGUCUCCACCUGGUCCUAGUUCAGGCCUCCUCUGUCCCCUACCCUGAGACUCCUCAUGCUCCCAGCCUUUAAUCCCCUGAGAUCUGAGGAGGAGGAGAAGGGAGGGGAAAAUGCCUGCUCACCUGCACAUUGUCACAGGAACAACCGUCCUCACAGGGACUGGCAUUUGUAAGCCAUUGCCAUACACGCUUGGUAUGUUAGAAAUCCAGAGGGCGGAAUGCCUCCCUUCUCUCCACUACAGAUAAAGGUAGCCAGGCAGGUCCGAGUGAAGGAACAACAUACCACGGUGUCUUCUUUAACAAAUCCCUGGCAACUAAGCUUCCUCACCACAAACAAAUGAACAAGUGCCAUUCAGCAGCCACUCCAGGCUGGUGUUAGGUCAGUGCCUGGCCAAAGGCUCACGAUGUUUAUGGAAAGCAGGUUGCAAUGGCUCGGCGGGAGAGUAUAAUUGAUGGACAAAUUAAGCACUCAAAGGCCAUCCAUUUGCCUCCAACCUCGAGCCUCUUAGCCAGGGAUACAGAGAGAAGAAGAGGAGGAGGAGGUUUGGUUUCCCAGGCAGCAGGCUGAGUCUGCAGGAUGGUUAUUGAAGAACAAUGGAGGCAGAUGCUGGAGCGGCUGUAGGAGAGCCUGGCUAGAGGGCAGCCCUCAGAGCUGUCCGGAGUGGGCUGAGGUGGCCAGCCCUGCUCUCCAGCACAGGCCUUUGGCUGUGGCCCCUCACGGGAGGGUGUCGCCGUGGGCAGGGCUUUCUGCAGCUGAGGGGUCCUGGAGCGAGCUGCCAGCAGCAGGUAACGCAUCCACCAUGAGAGUCCGGUGUCCACCACGUGGUCGUGGUGCUCAGGGCUGGCCUCACUGACCCUCCAGGGUGGCCAGGACCUGAGCCAUGGCCUCCACAUCCUCACUCUCAGGUCCUAACCAGUGCAUUCAAGUUCCCUCUGUCCGUUCAGAGAACUCUUACUCAUACUGUAAGACCCAGGUCAAAUGUCACCUUUGCUGAGCUGCCCGUCUCUGACAGCCACCUCUGCAGCACCGGAGCUCCAUUCGCCUCUCAAGGCUCCACAGCGCCUCCUUCCUACCCAUCCUGGAAUUUACAUUCAUCCUAUGGAAAUAAUGUCUUGCAAGCCUGAUCCCCACCCUACACUGACCAGGAGUCCCUUGGGGUCAGACACUGUCUUUUCUUUCUCCUUUCAUCCUUGGUUCCCGGUGUCAUGCCUGGAACCUGGAAGCGGCUCCUGAUUUUGCUGAAUGAAUGUAGGAGGGAGGCAAAGGGAAGGAGUGGUGGGGGAUCCUCCUCCAGCCAAGCAGACCCCCAGGUGUCAGGCCCCAGGCAGAGCCCCCUUCUCCCAGCCUGGCACCCUCACUGCUUCUCGCUCCUGUGGGCAGGAAAGGCCCCAUCCUCAGGGGCCACAGUGGCAGAGGCCCCUGGGGAAGCGAUGACAGACAGGGACAGCCACCCCUGCCAACAUCUCUCCUUGACCCUUGUCCUCCUUGGAGAACCUCCCCUGGAUUCUCAGUGGCCAGAGCUCUGUCAGCUUGACGGGUGGAGCGAGGGUUACCAGGAGCCCUUCCUUCUUGUUUUAAACUCCCUCCUCUUCCCCGACCAGGAGAGUCUGAGAGCGGAGGAGGGAGGGGGCUCACCCCUGGGGUGAGGAUGUUGAGCUCUCCCUCCCUGGGGCUGCCACCCGGCCCUUUAAAGGUUAAGUGUGUUUAUGCAGCAUCUUCAGGAGGCUGCCGGGUCUGACAAAACGGAGAGAAGAGUGAUUAAUGGCUGGUGUCCUUGCUGCCACCACCACAGGGAGGGAGGCUUCAACGGCUGCCCAGGAACCCCUCGUGUGACUCCAGGCUUCAGCCUUUCAGCAGACUUCGGGACAAACACUUCUGGACCAAGAGGAGGCUGCGAUUCUGGAAUGGGGCCUGGAGGGAGGCUGGGGAGCUGCUCUCUUGGGAAAACGAGAGUUUGCUCCAGGCCAGAGCGAAUCCUGUGGGGCUGCAGGCAGAAGAGAACAGAAGUUUGUGAACCACUGAGACUUUUAGAAAUUCAUGAUUUUUACAUCAUGCCCUGUAAUACAGUCCAAUGUGUCUUAGUAGAACAAUUAUGUUUUAGGUUGUGCAACAAUCAAAUUAUUUAAGUUAACACCGGCCAGGUGCAGUGGCUCAUGUCUAAAAUCCCAGCAGUUUGGGAGGCCAGGGCAGGAGAAACACUUGAGCCCAGGAGUUGGAGACCAGUCUGGGCAACAUAAG